rnacentral:misc_RNA from 1 species
AAGUCGUAACAAGGUUUCCGUAGGUGAACCUGCGGAAGGAUCAUUUACAAUAAGUGUUUAUGGCACUUUCAAAUCCAUACCCACCUUGUGUGCAAUGUAUAAGAGUCCUUUCCAACUCGGAUUAGACUUGAUUUUUCUCUCACACGUCUUCAAUUGCAAGUCUAAGCUUUCAGAGUAAUCAAAAAAACUCGAAUACAACUUUCAACAACGGAUCUCUUGGUUCUC